rnacentral:lncRNA from 1 species
GAGUAACCUGGAAUUUGCAGAUUAGGCGCAUGGUUCAACAGUUGAAUAUCCAGGUGGAGCAAAUGGUCGCAACCACGUGUCCCACUUGUGGCCAAGCUUGGUACCGAGCCAUGAGGGAGUUGCUCCAAGAACUGCUCGCGUCUAAUCCCCUAGAACAACAGCAGGGAGAGAGUGGUAUGAGUGAGAAGGGUAUGAAUAAAGAAGGGUUUUUUCCCUGUUAUUUCCUGUGUUCCAGUCAUGGUGUGAGUAUGGACUACAAAAUGGUGCGUUAGCCGGGAGCCUAUCUCAAGUAGCACAGAAGGGGCAGCCGCCCCUGUGGAAAGAGGAGGCUGUUGAGCUGACACCUAGAAUAGGAGUAUUAUCAAUUCAGUUAGGAAAUAAAAGAGAAGCAGAAGCAGAGUAGGAAAGAAAGAUACCUGAAACGCAGGGAAUCAAGUACCCCGUGGAAUAGCCCAGAGAAACUGACACCGGAGCAGCCAGAAGGUUCGGAGGAAGAAGAGGAGUGGGGAAGGUUUCAGGACUCGCAACCCUCGGCACCCCCAGGUUCCCUGGAACCAGAAGUAGGGCCUUUGGUCUCGCCAAGUGGAUCGGAUUCAUCAAAAACUGAGACAACCCCUCCGUCCUCUCCAACCCCUCAAGCCCCUCUUGUAACUGCAAUGGCUCAACUAGCACUAUCAGGAGGAAGGGAAAAAUAUUCAAAGUUCAUGAACCUGAGCAAUCUAGACUCUCACAUCACAGCCUUUGAAGUAGUGAGCACGGCAAAUCAAGAACAAGCAGACGCACUGCUGCUGAGAUGGUUUCCAACAACACUCUCCAGACCAGCCAUGGAUUGGUAUGCACAGGUGACGUCAGGUGUGGCACUGGCAUUUGUGACCUGGGAUGCAAUGAAGAGGGCCUUUUUGACUCAGUUCUGACCAUUUGGGUUCAGCACCAGAAUCACGGAGGAGCUCAACUUGAUCCAUUUGCUCCCGGGAGAGACCUACAGGAUUACACCUGCAGAUAUUGAGCUCUCCUGCAGCGAAAGCACCCUGCGCCUCUUGCAGAAGAUCAAGUGAGGUGUUACCUCAAUGGCUUGCCAUACGAAAUCAGCUUUCAUGUGAAGAUUCAUCGGCCAACCGAUCUCAAUGCAGCGGUGGAGCAUGUGGCUAC